AAUAGAUACCCGGGUAGUCCACGCCGUAAACGAUGAGUGCUAAGUGUUAGGGGGUUUCCGCCCCUUAGUGCUGCAGCUAACGCAUUAAGCACUCCGCCUGGGGAGUACGGUCGCAAGACUGAAACUCAAAGGAAUUGACGGGGGCCCGCACAAGCGGUGGAGCAUGUGGUUUAAUUCGAAGCAACGCGAAGAACCUUACCAGGUCUUGACAUCCCAUUGACCACUAUGGAGACAUAGUUUUCCCUUCGGGGACAACGGUGACAGGUGGUGCAUGGUUGUCGUCAGCUCGUGUCGUGAGAUGUUGGGUUAAGUCCCGCAACGAGCGCAACCCUUGUUCUUAGUUGCCAUCAUUUAGUUGGGCACUCUAAGGAGACUGCCGGUGACAAACCGGAGGAAGGUGGGGAUGACGUCAAAUCAUCAUGCCCCCUUAUGACCUGGGCUACACACGUGCUACAAUGGACGGUACAAACGGUUGCCAACCCGCGAGGGGAGCUAAUCCGAUAAAACCGUUCUCAGUUCGGAGUGUAGGCUGCAACUCGCCUACA
rnacentral:rRNA from 1 species